rnacentral:rRNA from 1 species
UACGAAGGGGGCUAGCGUUGUUCGGAAUUACCGGGCGUAAAGGGCGCGUAGGCUGUGCUGUAAGUCAGGCGUGAAAGCCCCGGGCUCAACCUGGGAAUUGCGCUUGAUACUGCGGCGCUGGAAGGUGGGAGAGGAUGGCGGAAUUCCCAGUGUAGAGGUGAAAUUCGUAGAUAUUGGGAAGAACACCGGUGGCGAAGGCGGCCAUCUGGCCCAUUUUUGACGCUGAGGCGCGAAAGCGUGGGGAGCAAACAGG